GUGCUUGUUUUGGAAACUCACAUACAAAAUUUGCAAAAAUACAAAUAAAACUAGCAUGUCCCCUUCACAAGGAUGAAUUGUAAAUCUGUGAAGCAUUCCAUAGUAGG
ensembl:snRNA U6 U6 spliceosomal RNA